rnacentral:rRNA from 1 species
GACGGAAGGGGCAAGCGUUGCUCGGAAUUACUGGGCGUAAAGGGCGCGUAGGCGGCCUUCUAAGUCGAACGUGAAAUCCCCGGGCUCAACCCGGGAACUGCGUCCGAUACUGGAAGGCUUGAGUCCGGGAGAGGGAUGUGGAAUUCCAGGUGUAGCGGUGAAAUGCGUAGAUAUCUGGAAGAACACCAGUGGCGAAGGCGGUCAACUGGCCCAUAACUGACGCUCAUGCACGAAAGCGUGGGGAGCAAACAGG